rnacentral:lncRNA from 1 species
GGAAAAAACUGACUGUUAACAAAAUUUUAGACAAGCUUGAUGAAGAAUAUUCCGAUUCAGGUGAUGAAAACCAAAACUUGAGGGAACGGAUUCAAGUAAUUAUAUAUCUGCUAUCUAAUAAUUAUGCUUUUGAAAGUGAUGGAGAUAAUGACGAUGAAGAAAAUACAGCAAGAUACUUUACUAACCUAUCUCGAAAAGUAUUGGAGUACAGAGGUGAGCUGAUUGAUAAAGAUAAGAACCAGGAUGACUGUGAUGAAGAUUUUGAAUUGAUAACACCUAAUUCAAUUCCAUCUACAAGGAAGAGGAAAUCCUCCAUUACUAAUAUAAAGAAAAAAAAAUGAAUCAACGACAAAGUAGGAUCCUGAUAUGGAAAACAAUUAUCCUUUCAUCGAACGUACUCCACCCUCCAGGAGGAGAAAGACAAAUAGAGUUAGAGGACCUCUACAAAAAAUAGUUAUUGCUGCUGCUAAGACAACUUAAGAUGAAAAAUCAAGGCUUUUUGAAAGUGUUUCUGAAAUCUCCAAUGCCUCGAAGUCAAACCAAAAGAAUAUAGAAGUUAAUCGUGUAUGAAGUGAUGCUGACUCUGGACUUGGUAGUAACAUUGGUCUAUUUUCUCCAGUUCUCAAUGAGUUUGAGUCUGAAGAGGCAAUGCAAGUUGUCUUAUCAGUUCAAGAUACUAUUUAAGCCUAACAAUCACAUCGAGGAAAUAUUUGGAAAAAGCAGAUUGUAUGGUCAAGAGAAGGGAAGAUCUAAAAAAGCUGUUGAUGUUACUGAAGACUCGAUUCUAUGUGGUUAUGCUCUCAUGUUACUCUCAGCUUACUCCAAGGUUCCGAACAAAAUUAUGUACUCGGAAGAUACUCGGGACUGCAAAAGUUCUAUAAUUUCUGAAAACAUUAGGUGUGAUACAUUCUGAAAGGCCAUCUUAGUGGUUUAUUUUUCGAACAAUAGCGUAGAGUCUGAUGAUAGCUUUUUCAAAAUCCGUCUUCUAUUUUAAAAUAUUAACAGGCAAAGUAUGAAGUACAUGCAUGUUUCCCAAUCUUUAAGCGUGAAUGAGAUAAUGAUACCGUAUUGUGGAACAAACGGAGACAAGCAGUGUAUUCGUGCCAAUCCAGUGAAAUUUGGAUUCGAGGUAUGGGCACUUUGCAGUAGCUCUGGUCAUAUUGUAUUCGUUGAGCCUUAUUGUGGCAGAUGCACUGACAUUGAAAAAGUCAUGGGUUGUCAGGGUCUAAAUGUGGUGGUGGCACUUUUCAAUAAGGCGAAAGGGUCGCCGGGGAGUAAAGUUUUUUGUUUGAUAAUUUAUUUAAUUCUAUUCCUCUUUUGAAGGAACUAACCUCUAAAGGUAAAUUUUCAGUUUCAGAUAUCUUUAAAUUUAUUUAUGAAGAAGCAGAUUAUAAUUAAGAUGAAGCUGAAAAUAAAUAUUUACAAAAUUAUCAAUUUAA